GCAUUAGCCCUCUCGCCGGGGCGUGAAGGAUGGGAGACCCGCAAAGCAGAGUUAACACAAACCGCAGUUUCAGGGCCAAGGAGCGAGGGACACACGUCAGGAGGCGAGACUGGCUGAGCUUUCCUUCCGUUCCGUUGAGGGGCAAACCAAUUUGUUUCCAGCUUCCGACUGGAAGUAGGAGUUGUAAAUGCAUUUAAAAUGCAUUCUAAAAGGCAACUUUUAGGGAAAGAAGCAAGCCACUUGAUUUGGUGGGAAGACUCAAAUGUGGACACCUUGGAGGAAAGCUCCAGCCUUCCCGCCUAAUUUCCAAAUAGGAGUUUGUCUUUUGUCCCCGUAAACUUUCCUCCGGUGUCUGUCAGCUCCACGUGAACUGCAGGUUUCGGGAGGAAGCGGGAGGCUCGGGGCUGCCAGAUCCGAAUCCUCGCUGUCCUCGGUUGGGCAGAAACCCUGAAGCCCACAGUAGCAUAAUAAUGCCUGCGUAAUUAAUUUUGAACUUCCUCUAAGAACAAGUUAAUAUGUUUUUGAUAACCUCUAUAAUUCUUGGGGUUUUUUUAUUUUAAGUUUGGAAUCUUAAUAUUGCAAUAAAACAGAAUUAUAUUUAAAUUCCACAUAGAAACCAGGAAUUUGUGUCUGUGUGUGCACGUGUGUGCAUGCAUUUCUGAGAUUGCCCCCUAAAGAUCUUCAGAGAAACAUAUCACUGUGUUUCUGAUAAGCACAAGAUUGAGUCAGUAAAUUACAGAGGUCCUCGGCUGACACGUCGCAGGCCCCUGUGCCUUCGGAGGCUUGACACUGAUUCUGUUUUAAACAAAGACCGAACAUCAUGACAGCCACCAUCCCAGUGAGCCUCUGCUUACAGGACUUUGCUAAACAAAUUAGGAGCAAAGUUUCAUGGGAAGCUGCUCCAUGAAUUUGUAGUUGCUGCUUUUUGUACUCGGCCGGAAGAGAAAUUCCCACCCGUUAUGCUGUGUUCUGUGGUGUAAUUCGAGCAGUGAUGGAGUUAGAGAUGCAGCAAUUUGAAUCUAGUAUCUUCAGGUUGACUCAUUCAGCUGCCAGACAUAGCUUGGCAUACAGACGGAUAAUCCCUGAGCAGUGUGGCGUAGUGGGUUGAGCCGCCGCCUGCAACACCAGCAUCCCUUGUAGGCGCCAGUUUGAGUCCCAGCUGCUCCACUUCCUACCCAACUCACUGCUGAAGGGCCAGAGUAACUACAUUUUGAAAAAGUGGGCUGGCGCCACGGCUCACUAGGCUAAUCCUCCGCCUGUGGCGCUGGCACCCCAGGUUCUAGUCCCGGUUGCCCCUCUUCCAGUCCAGCUCUCUGCUGUGGCCUGGGAGGGCAGUGGAGGAUGGCCCAGGUCCUUGGGAGACCAGGAAGAAGCACCUGGCUCCUGGUUUCGGAUCAGCGCAGCGCCGGCUGUAGCAGCCACUUGGGGGGGUGAACCAACGGAAAGGAAGACCUUUCUCUCUGUCUCUCUCACUAACUCUGCCUGCCAAAAAAAAAAAAAGUGCCUCUAUUCAGGGGCCCGACUUCCUGUAAAAUCAGGGGAAACCGAACAACAGAACAGCUUGUUAGCUUCACGUGUAAGGAAAUCCCCUGGGUCCGAAUCAAUCAGGAACAACCGUGUUCCCUCAGGAAAUACCAGAGGUGACCCCAGCCAAUCCGCUGUUACCCCGCACCCCUCGAUGACAUACCCUGCCUUAAAAGAGGCUCCCGAGCCUGGCUUGGGAUCUUCCUCUGCCCUCCGCUGCGCAGUUGGUUAGAUGGGUCCCUGCCACGGCUUGUACUUCCGAAAUAAACCUGGCUCUUGCAUUUCGGUGUGUUCGAGUCUCUGGUGGCGUUUGGGGAUCCAAUGAUCUGGGCACAACACUGCUAAUGUUCUGGGAAGGCAACAGAAGAUGGCCCAAGUGUUUGGGCCCCUGCCCCACAUGGGAGACCCAAAUAGCGUUCCAGAUUCCUAGCUUUGGCCUGGCCCAGCCCUGGCUGUUGCGACCAACUGGGGAGUGAACCAGCAGGUGGAAUAUCUCUCUGUCUCCCUUUCUCUUUAACUCUGCCUUUCAAAUAAAUACAUAAGUAAACAAAUCUUUACAAAAGGGAGAAAUGUGGCCCCAUUCCGGUGGCUGCCCCACUGUGUCUCUCAGGUUCCCCACCUGUGGACGCAGGCGCUCCCAGCACUCCCCCCUCCCCGCUCCCCCUGUGAUUGGGCCGUUCGGCUAAUGGUCUGUUUGAGCAGUAGGACCUGCUGGAUCAGGGCUUUCCUGCCUUUGUAAUUCCCCAGGCUUCUCUCUGUUAGGUUUCACAGGAAAUGAAUCUAUGAGCAGAAAACCUACAUUGAUAUGUAAACAUCAUUUUUUUUGGUUAAUGCUCAAUAUUCUUUUCAUCUAAAUUUCAGAAACUGACUUUAAAAAAUCAGUUUCCUUUUAUUUGUAGUCAUUCUCAAUAAAAUUUUACCCAGGCUUGGGCGUUUUAAUAUUUACACCCACUAUUUCUAAAAGUCUUAUGUAAAUAAAGAUUGAAAUGUGAAUUUGAAAAGUCACACCUCUUGAUAUUUGAACAGACUAUAGCUGCAUAUAUCUUCUUUUUCUAAUAAUAUGGCUAGUUUCUCUCCUAAGCUUUUAAAAUAAUAAGACACUAUUUUUGUAUUCUAAAACAUGAAAAGGUUCAGUGUUAAAUAAAAAGCAAAUAGUAUUUUUAGAGAAGCCAGAUCCCAGGGAGUAGUGCUUAACCAUAAAUCACCAAUGGGCAGCAAUUCCGAAUUCCAGAAGACUUUAUUAUAGUCAGGCUCCACUCACAGAGGCAUGCCCCUCCCACCGUGGUGCCUGCAGGUGACGCUCUGUGGCGCCCUGGGAUCAGGGAGAAGCAGGGGCCGCCUUAGUGGUGGCUUGUGGGGAUUUCCCAGCAGGCAGCUGGCACGUGGUUCAGCGUGGUUGGGGGUCUCCCUGAUGAGCGCCCUCGCAGCUGGGCUGUGGUCCGUUUCUGACUGCAGGAGGUGCUCAGCUGAUCCAUCCGCUCCACUCCGGUCCCGUGUCGCCGCCUCGCGUGGUGCUGGGUUCCACGCUCCUGUCCCUGUGUUCCCCACAUCCCCCAGACCUCUUCAGACCCGUGUCCCAGGGUGCACUUUGUCUGUUCUGUUUGAACCCCUCUCGCUCAUUGUCACAGGGGUUGCUCUCAGGCAUCCUGAUGCGGUUUAUUCCCGGGGUUACUGUCACCGUUCAGCUCGUGCUACACAUUGCGUCCAGAAGCUUCUCCUCUCUGUGCCGAACUGCCCUGCUGGUGUCCAAGGGUGGUGGGACUCUGCGUUGUGGCGUUUGGUGGCCGCCCCAGCCCAGGGCCCGGUGGCUGGCGCCCUGCUGCUGUGCGCUGUCCUCCAUUGUGUGUCCAGGGGCAGUGCAGAGACCCCUGUCCCCAGCACAGCUCCUCUCCUGGCCACGGCUUCAGCAGCCGGCUCCUUCCCCGGGCCAGCUGGUCUUGCUCGGCACAGGGGCCAUGUGGCAGCUGAGAGUAAUGUGGAAACCAGGCUGUUCUUUGGAAAUUCAGACCAAUUAAGUGAAAUCUAAUGAGGCUGCCCAGGGUCUCCGGAGUAAUCAAAAGAAGAUAUAGGCAGAGAGGAGGGGGCUUGUAAGACAGAAAGGCUAGGGAGAGCGGGCUUAGGAGGUCUGUGGGGGAUGGGGUGAGGUGCAGGAAUCCAAGGUGGAGCCUCAGCCACCGGCCACCAACCACGAAGCCCCUGCUUUGUCCUGCAGGGCUCCCUGCCUCUGUCCCGCAGCUCUGAGCUGUGGAGGCCACGUUUCCCACACUCCUUUUUCUCUGGCCUCUGGGUAGAGUCGCCGGCAGGACCUGGGAGCUGAGCUGGGCUUGGGGAGAAGCCUGGGCAUUUCUCCCUCUGCCCCUGCCUGCUGGGGCUCCCACGGAGCAGGCCCAGUGUGGUCCCACCCUUGUUGGGGGGCACCCGCUCCUAGCCCUGCGCUGGGGGCACCCACUCCGGGCCCUGCGCUGAGUGGCUGGUUGCCUCUCCCUGCCCUGUGUGGCCCUCAUGUCUCCUCCUCCUCAGGUGUAGGUAAGUCCUGUGGUCAGUUCCCUCCCUAUGAAAUUGAAGUACAUGGACUGGACCUGACCUGGCUGCUCAGCUGAUAGAUUCCCCUGGAAUAAAAGCAGUCGCUCUGAUAGACGCAGGCUUCCAGGGCUUUGCUGCCCACCCCAGGGCUCAGGGCUUUGGUCCAGGCAGCUCAGCGUGCAGGAGCUGGUGGAGCCAGUCCCAGCCGUCUGCCACUGGGGCACUGCUGCCAUUGGCUUUUGAAGCUGCCCGUCACUGGUGCUCCUUGACUUCUGAUCUAUGGGUGGUUGGGUUUUACCACUCGGACUGCGGUGAAUGCCACUGAAGCCGUAUGCUCAGCUGCUGCUUGGUGCCCUGGAGCCCUGACUGCACCAGACGGGCUGUGUGCGCCAGCCGGGUCGCCAGCAUAUCAAGUUUUGCUUCAUUUGCAGGCAGGUGCGAAGGACGUGGUCUUUUUUUAAAGAUAUAUUUAUUUAUUUGAAAGAGUUAUAAAGAGAGAGAGAGAGACUCCUCCAUCUGCUGGUUCACUCCCCAGAUAGCCAUGACAGCUAGGGCUGGGCCAAACCCAUGCCAGUGGGAGACUGGGAGGAAGCACCUGGCUCCUGGCCAUUAGGGUAGCGGCCAUUAGGGGGAAUGAACCAACGGAAGGAAGACCUUUGUCUCUGUCUCUCACUAUCUAUAACUCUCUCUGUCUCUUGUCUAACUCUGUCUGGCAAAAAAUUAAAAAAAAAAUGCCAGGAGCCAUGUGUCCCUGUGUCCCAUGUGGGUGCAGGGCCCGAAGUACUUGGGCCGUCUUCUGCUGCUUUUCCCAGGCCAUUAGCAGGGAGCUGGAUGGGAAGCGGAGCAGCCAGGACGCAAACCUGCAACCAUAUGGGAUACCAGCACCAUAGGCAACAGCGCUACACACUACGCCACAACGCCGGCCCCAAGGACACAGUAUUUUUUAAUUAAUUUAUUUAUUUGAAAGGCAGAGUUACAGAGAGGCAGAAGCAGAGAGAGAGGUCUUCCAUCCACUGGUUCACUCCCCAGAUUUCACUCCCCAGAUGGCUGCAAUGGCUGGAGCUGUGCUGAUCUGAAGCCAGGAGCCAGGAGCUUCUUCUAGGUCUCCCAGUGGGUGCAGGGGUCCAAGCACUUGGGCCAUCUUCUACUGCUUUCCCAGGCCAUUAGCAGGGAGCUGGAUUAGAAGUGGAGCAGCUGGGACUUGAACCGGCGCCCAUAUAGGAUGCCAGCACUGCAGGCGGCUUUACCCACUGUGCCACAGUGCUGGCCCCAAGGGCACAGUCUUAAAAAGCCUCCACAUUCUUACUCACUUUUUGAUAUUGAAGUCCAGUGUCUGACAGUGCUGUGCACAUGUGUGUGUGCGUGCCAGCACGUGUGUGUGCACAGUGCUUGUUUGUGUGCAUAUGUGUGGUGAAUGUGUACACACUCGUGUGCAUAUAUGUAUCUGGCAUGAGUAUAUGCACACGUGUGUCUUGUAGAUACUGUAUGUGUGCGUGCAUGUAUGUGUAUGGAGAGAGGCAUGCAGUGUGGGGGUGGAAACAGCAGAGGAAGGAAGGUGUUUGAUCCAAACCCAUUGCUUUGGUUCACUUUUCCCUGUGGGGACAGAGGGAGGCGCCAAAGUAUGAUUAUUCUGAGCCUACACGGUUUAUCCCUAAAUGCACGGCCUUGCCCAGCUGUGGCCGCUCCGUCUGCACAGCCCUAGAUGACUGGGGACUGCUGCUUCCUACCUCUGCAUCGUCUACAAAUGCUGCCAGACCUGGUGGCCCUGCCUUCCGGGAGGGCCUGCAGGGAGAUGCUGCCCACCUGGUACUUGGCGCAGGUCUUAGUGUCAAGGUCGGGACAGAGGCCAGCGAUGACGAUGGAGCGUUGCCACACAGUUGAGGAAGGUUUGUGUGCAGGGGUUCGCUGUUCGCAUCCUGUUUUUAGCAACAGCUGGUUCUUACCAGUCCUUUCUUCUUACAUUCCAAGAGUCAGAAGGCAUCACAGUCGUGGAGGGUUCCCCGGGACUCCACUGGUCCUUGUGCAAGGACCAAAGUCCCCGGGACUCCACUGGUCCUUCUGCAAGGACCAAGGUCCCCGGGACUCCACUGGUCAUUGUGCAGGGACCAAGGUCCCCGGGACUCCACUGGUCAUUCUGCAAGGACCAAGGUCCCCGGGACUCCACUGGUCAUUCUGCAAGGACCAAGGUCCCCGGGACUCCACUAGUCCUUCUGCAAGGACCAACGUAGUCCAGGACUCCAUUGGUCAUUGUGCAAGGACCAAGGUCCCCCAGGACUCCACUGGUCAUUCUGCAAGGACCAAGGUCCCCGGGACUCCACUGGUCCUUCUGCAAGGACCAAGGUCCCCGGGACUCCACUGGUCAUUCUGCAAGGACCAAGGUCCCCCAGGACUCCACUGGUCAUUGUGAAAGGACCAAGGUCCCCCGGGGCUCCAGUGGUCAUUCUGCAAGGACCAAGGUCCCCCAGGACUCCAUUGGUCAUUGUGCAAGGACCAAGGUCCCCCAGGACUCCACUGGUCCUUCUGCAAGGACCAAGGUCUCCCAGGAUUCCACUGGUCAUUCUGCAAGGACCAACGUUGUCCAGGACUCCACUGGUCAUUGUGCAAAGACCAAGGUCCCUGGGACUCCACUGGUCCUUCUGCAAGGACCAGCUGUGCACCACACCUUUUCCCAUAGGGUCCUCAGGGCUCCUGGGGUUCCCUGGCCUGGCCCGGCCCUGCUAGUGUACAGAUGAGGAAAACCAGGCCCUCAGAGGUGAAGUUGCUGAGCUGCCGUGUGCGAUGGUCAAAGGGGGCAGGGGCUCAAGCCUCACUGGAACCCUGUCCUCUUUCAGCCCUUCUGUCUAGUCAGCGUGUUUGCAGCCCACAGGCCAGCCGGACUCCCACUCCAGGCUCACCCGCUCUGAGAAGAGUGGCAGUGACGGGGUGGGUCUGUGUAGACCAUGUUCCCAGAGACAAUGAGAGGUCCUUGGCUAAGGCACAUGGGCUGAUGUGUUCGCACCCUGAAGGAAUAGGCUGGCCCCUGGCAGAGUCUGUGUCAGUGUUGCCAAAGGGAGUCACAGAGUGGAUGAGGUUAGUAGAUCCUUGAUCACGUUUUCAGAUUUAGCUUCUGGUAGAGUCUGACCAUAAUUGUUUCCUCUGAAAUGCACAUACCAGGAAACUGCUGUUAGAAAGUUUCAGUGUGUUAUUUAGGUCAUUUCCAGGCCUGAAGGAGCUGAGGGGCUCCAGGUAACAAAGAAAAUGCAGUGUAGCUCUCCUACAAACAGGUUAGACUGAGCGGAUCAGAGCGGCCCCCUGCUGUGGACAGAGAGGCAGUGUCCGGGGUGAGAGGUAAACACACAGGUAACCACAGCGCAAGAGAAGGUGCAGACACGUGCUGCAGUGGCCGUCAGUGGGCCCUGGCUGUCCCAGGUUUUGUCCUACAGUGGGGCCAGAAAAAUGUCCUGAGAUAGAAGUGACUUUGGCCUAACAGAGGUGUGGGAGCUGGAAUUUGAACCCUUGCAUAAAGCUGUGCGCCCUGAAGAUCUGACCGUACCCUACAAGGGGAAUGGAAGUUAAAAUGUGGGCUCCAAGCGUAUCCUAUGCCAGUGUACAGUCACAGCAUUAACACAGAAGUAGACCCAGAUGUCCGAGUGGUUCAGGUGCUGUAGGACUGCCUCCACCCUCAGUGCACACACGUCCGGAGGUCGAACACCCACUGAGGAUGGGAUGUAACAGAUCCAGCACUUCAGAGGCAGCCCGCAGAAUCCACGUUGCCACAAAUCGGAGAUGAAAGAGGCUGAAGUUCACUAUGAAAUAUUUACAGUUUUCAAAAACAAUAAAGAAAUGGAGCCAUAAUAAAAGAAGGCAGUGUGAAACAUAGAAUUGGAAGGUAACAGAAAAACUGAAAGUGAAUGAUCUGGUCAUUGAAAUGUCUUUUAAAAAACAAACCAUCAGAUUAGACACAGUAAAGACUCAGUGAGUCGGGGCAUAGAUCUGGGAAGUCGUCCCAGACGGUGGGGGAGAAGAGGUGAGAAGUGUGCGUGUGUGGGCGAGAGCGUCAGAGGCGCAGGGGGUGACCCACUAGGAAAUCCAGAGGGGAGGGUUUAGAGACUGCUAGAGAGGGACACUGAAGAACGUGACGGGAAUGGAAGGAAGGCAGGCGUGGCCAGGUGGCAAAGUGGAGGAGGUCUCCAGUCAGAAACCAACGUACAUCACAAGCUGUGCUGAUCAAGGCCAAGUGGUGUUGACCCAGGGACAAAUAGACCGAUGAAAUGGACUCUUGAAGCAUGAAUAGACGGCAGUUGAGAACAAGUUUCUCUGUACAUUGUGCUAGGACAGUUGGCUAAUCCGCAUAUGAGGAAAAUAAAAUUAGAUUUCAACCUCAUCUAAAGAUCAGCUUUGGGCCUGGCGUGGUGGUGUGGCAGGUAAAACCGCCCCCUGUGACGCCAGCAU